rnacentral:rRNA from 1 species
AGUCGAACGCCGUAGCAAUACGGAGUGGCAGACGGGUGAGUAACACGUGGGAACGUACCCUUUGGUUCGGAACAACACAGGGAAACUUGUGCUAAUACCGGAUAAGCCCUUACGGGGAAAGAUUUAUCGCCAAAGGAUCGGCCCGCGUCUGAUUAGCUUGUUGGUGAGGUAACGGCUCACCAAGGCUACGAUCAGUAGCUGGUCUGAGAGGAUGAUCAGCCACACUGGGACUGAGACACGGCCCAGACUCCUACGGGAGGCAGCAGUUAGGAAUCUUGGACAAUGGGCGCAAGCCUGAUCCAGCCAUGCCGCGUGAGUGAUGA